UCCGGUUUAACACCGGCAGUCCCUCUAGAGAUCCACUUUCGUGGCAACUAAAGGCGAGGGUUGCGCUCGUUGCGGGACUUAACCCAACAUCUCACGGCACGAGCUGACGACAGCCAUGCAGCACCUGUCAACCUGCCCCGUGAGGGGAGGAAUCCAUCUCUGGAAACCGUCAAGUUGAUUUCUAACCCAGGUAAGGUUUUUCGUGUUGCGUCGAAUUAAACCACAUACUCCACCGCUUGUGCGGGCCCCCGUCAAUUCCUUUGAUUUUUAAUCUUGCGACCGUACUCCCCAGGCGGAUAACUUAAUGCGUUAGCUGCGAUACAGAAGGGGUCAAUACCUCCUACAUCUAGUUAUCAUCGUUUACGGCGUGGACUAC
rnacentral:misc_RNA from 1 species